UGUUUCACUUCGCCCUUCCAAGGCGGUACGGAACCCUAGGUGCUGCAUAAAGUGUUCUUCUUAGCCCUGUCCUGCCACACAAUCUUUUCCAGCAUUCCAAGUGUCUCCAAGAGCUUUCCAUAAGAAUCGGAGGGUGAACUGUUUGAUUCUUUAAAUCUAACUAGUUCGCAAUUGGAGGAUUUAAUAGCUGCCACAGAUUGUCUUUUUGUGAAUAAAAAUCCUGCCUCAGACAAACAGUCCCCAGAAACCACAGAAUACUCGACGCCCCCAAAGAGUGGUUAUUCUUCCGAAGUUUCCAGUCAGCAUCUAGAAUCGGCGCAAAGGCCCUCGGGCAGUCUACUAUUGAACAUCUCAUUUACGCAGCCCGAACCCGCCUCUCAAGGGUUACUGACUCAGAUACUCGGGGACUCACCGCCGUUUGCAUCAUCACCCGGACUUCGCGCCCAAAUAAUCGGUGAACCUGAAAGAUUUGAUCCCGCUGCUAAGGCUGCUGAGCUGAAGGCUGAAAUCGAACGAGUGCUGUUGGUUGUUCAAAACUCUUAAUCCUUUCUCCAGAUAUACAUGAAAAGGUUAUUUUAUUGUACGCAAUUUUAGAAAACUAAAAAUGAUUUCAGGCCAUAUGAGUGGUGAUGGUCAAAGAAGGAAAAGGCGUGCAAGUGAGGACUUGGACGCUGGGAGCAGUUCUCAAAAUGCUGGGUUAUUGCAUGAUAUGGUGAAUGAACUUCGUUAUUCUAUUCGGCCCCCAAAAAUGCCUACUCCACCACCCCGAUAUUUUAAUGAAUUGGAAUAUAUUAAUUGGCAAAAUCAAAACAUGAUCCAAAUGAAUAAUAUAAUAGCGACCAUGAGAGUUCCUUCACCUGUUACCACUCCCAUCGACUCUGACGAGCUUGACAGACUUUUAGAAGCCCUACGUCCAGUAGCCACCCCCGAUGAAAUGCAAACAUUAAAUAACUUGUUAGAAAGGGUUCAGCAAACUUUGAACAAAAAUGUGAAUGCUCAAACGGGUCAUGGUUCAACAAACACGUUGGGUUCUGUAAAUGCUGCCCCCUCUCACAGUAUGGCCACUUCUGUCUCGGCAAUCUCUGCUCCAGUCACUGUCUCCUCUGUUUCUGUCCCUGCAGCUCCCACUUCUGCUCCCUCUAAAUUCAGUAGGCCUCUAUGCCCCCUCUGUUCCAGUCACUGUCUCCUCUGUUCCAGUCCCUGUAUCUUCAAGCUCUGUCUCCUCUGUUUCAGUCCCUGUAUCUUCAGGCCCUGUCUCCUCUGUUUCAGUCCCUGUAGCUACCACUUCUGCUCCCCUUGCUUCAGUCUUGUCCCCUGUUUCAGUCACGGCUUCCUCAGUCCCUAUUGCACAGCCAUUUGCAGCUCCCCCUUCAACCUCUUCAAUCGCGCCAGUCAUGUCCGGUGGUUCUGUGGUAUCUAAACCUUCAUCCUCAUCUGCUGUCUCUAGUAAUGACGGUCAGGGCGUUUUUCAGCAGAUCGACAGACCUGCUUUUAAUCACACUGAAAUAAGACACCCCUUAAAUUUCGCCGACGCCUAUGAACUAGAGUCUAACGAGGAGGUGUAUUUGAAUUUAUCGGCAAUGAGAUUGCUCAAAUACAAUGGAAGUACACCGAUGAAAAGUAUACCCUACCUGGUAGCGUUAAUGUUGUCAUUGCUGCUUUCACCAUGGCCUAUGCCCGGUUACAGUUGUACGAUUUAAUGGACAGUCUGGGAGAAAGCGUGUUGUACCACGACACCGACUCGGUCAUUUUUACUUCUCAGCCUGGUCAGUACAAUUCUCCUCUGGGUGACUAUUUAGGAGAGCUUACCAGUGAGUUAAAUCCUGGUGAUUAUAUUACUGAAUUUGCUUCAGGCGGUCUAAAGACACCUGGGUAUAAAACGGCACAAGGCAAAACAUGUAUGAAGGUAAAAGGUGUCACCAUCAAUCACGGAACUGGUAAAAUUAUAAACCUCGAGUCACUAACCAAUCUAGUUCAAAAUUUUGUGACGUCUCAUGAAGCCCCUUCUCAAGAUUUACUGGUUCACGGUAAGCAGAUCCAUCGAAAUGAAAAACGUUUCACUUUAGAAAACAGACCACUCAGGAAGAAAUUCAGAUUGGUUUAUAACAAGAGGGUUCUCCUAAAAGAUUACAAUACAAGACCUUAUAGCUACUAAAAGAGAUUUUGACGCCCGCCUUCAACACCCCUUUGCUAAAAUUAUCUCGUCACCUUCUUGUUCCGGUAAAUCCUAUUAUGUGAAAAAAUUAUUGGAACAUUCGAACCACGUUGUGUCUCAACCUUUUCAAAAUAUAAUUUGGUUUUAUAGUUGCUGGCAGAAAAUGUACGACGAGUUGUCGGCUAAAUUUCAGCAAUUAAAAUUUAUUUUAAUUUUAGGGGCUCCCAAAGUCUUUAUGCAACGACGAACUUCUCCCUCCUGAGAAAAUAAAUUUCAUCAUUAUAGAUGAUCUGAUGGAAUCAGCUAGCGAAAGCCAGGAAAUAGAAAAAGCUUUCACAAAAUAUACUAAUCAUCGGAAUCUGUCUAUCAUUUACUUGGUUCAAAAUUUAUUCUUUCAAAGAAAGAAAAGCUGAACGAUUAAUCUUAACGCCAAUUAUAUUACUCUUUUUAAAAACCCCAGGGACAAAUUGCAGAUUACUACCUUGGCCCGCCAAAUGUAUCCGAGGCGUGUUAAGUUCUUUUUGGAGGCUUUCGAAGAUGCUACAAAACUACCGUACGGUUAUCUCUUAGUGGAUUUAAAGGCACAGACCCCAGACGAACUGCAUUUAAGAACAUGUCUGUUUCCGCCCGACUGGCCAGUCGUGUACACCGUGAAAAGAUAAAAGAAGGUGUUCUGAGUCAAAGUUACAUAUUCUGUCAGCAUGUCGGCCAGAAUAAGCAGAAACCUAAAGCCUCUCAAGGCCUUACUCCGUUACUCUUGUCCGUUAAUCCCCAUCACGCGUUUUUGAAUAAUCGUGGAGAGCUGUUGUUAGAAGGUAAACCUUUGGUCGGAUCCAACAUGGUGGAUUUGGUCCGUAAUCUGACCGCUUCUCAUACAAUACCCGAACAUAGGAGACCGCGGGGGUGGAAGAAUUUGUAAACACCAUGGCCGGUUUGAACAUUCCAUUUUGUCGUACCUAAUGAUGAAAUGAGAGAACUCCUUGAAAAUUUUAAGCCACCCGCCGCCCUCCUCCCUGCUCAUCAAACAGAAGUUAGCCCCUACCAACUGAA